UUGUUUGUUUACCCAGUUGGCAUGCAUCACAAAUUCUAUCCUUUUCAAAAUUUAAUUUUGACAAACCAAGAACUAAUUCUUUCUUAAUUAAUUUUGAAAGAGAAUGCAUGCUAAUGUGUGCAAGUCUGCGAUGCCAAAGCCAACUAGUCUCAUUAACUUUAGCAUUCUAGGAUACUAGGCAUUGCAUGUUUAUUUUGGCU
rnacentral:lncRNA from 1 species